rnacentral:rRNA from 1 species
UACGUAGGUGGCAAGCGUUGUCCGGAAUUAUUGGGCGUAAAGCGCGCGCAGGCGGCUUCUUAAGUCUGAUGUGAAAUCUCGGGGCUCAACCCCGAGCGGCCAUUGGAAACUGGGAAGCUUGAGUACAGAAGAGGAGAGUGGAAUUCCACGUGUAGCGGUGAAAUGCGUAGAUAUGUGGAGGAACACCAGUGGCGAAGGCGACUCUCUGGUCUGUAACUGACGCUGAGGCGCGAAAGCUAGGGGAGCAAACAGG